GUGGGGAAUAUUGGACAAUGGGGGGAACCCUGAUCCAGCCAUGCCGCGUGUGUGAAGAAGGCCUUUUGGUUGUAAAGCACUUUAAGCGAGGAGGAGGCUACCGAGAUUAAUACUCUUGGAUAGUGGACGUUACUCGCAGAAUAAGCACCGGCUAACUCUGUGCCAGCAGCCGCGGUAAUACAGAGGGUGCAAGCGUUAAUCGGAUUUACUGGGCGUAAAGCGCUCGUAGGUGGCCAAUUAAGUCAAAUGUGAAAUCCCCGAGCUUAACUUGGGAAUUGCAUUCGAUACUGGUGGGCUAGAGUAUGGGGGAGGAUGGUAGAAUUCCAGGUGUAGCGGUGAAAUGCGUAGAGAUCUGGAGGAAUACCGAUGGCGAAGGCAGCCAUCUGGCCUAAUACUGACACUGAGGUGCGAAAGCAUGGGGAGCAAACAGGAUUAGAAACCCUUGUAGUCC
rnacentral:rRNA from 1 species